AGAGUGAACGCUGGCGGCAGGCCUAACACAUGCAAGUCGAACGGCAGCACAGGAGAGCUUGCUCUCUGGGUGGCGAGUGGCGGACGGGUGAGGAAUACGUCGGAAUCUGCCUAUUUGUGGGGGAUAACGUAGGGAAACUUACGCUAAUACCGCAUACGACCUACGGGUGAAAGCGGAGGACCUUCGGGCUUCGCGCAGAUAGAUGAGCCGACGUCGGAUUAGCUAGUUGGCGGGUAAAGGCCCACCAAGGCGACGAUCCGUAGCUGGUCUGAGAGGAUGAUCAGCCACACUGGAACUGACGACACGGUCCAGGACUCCGUA
rnacentral:rRNA from 1 species